UAAAAAACAUAAUCUGGCCAAAACUACACUGACCAACACGUAAAGGACCCGACUACGUCCUUGGAUUGGAUUUGGGAUUAAAGUCGCUGACUAAAAUGUCAGAAUCAGAGAUUGAGGACUUGAUGGCAGAGCUCUUGAGACGAUACGGAUUUUCAAUACCAAUAUCCAUAAAAGUUCGUUCUGUUCAACCAUAACACCAGUGGAAGAAAGUCAAGAUCAAAGUGGAGUGGAAUAAAUCUGCAAAGCAUGUGUUUUUAUUUUUAAAGAUGUUUAGUCUUUUCUUGUGAAGUCUUUAUUUCCUGGAAAAGAAUCAAAUGAUUUGGGGAAUGCGUAUGUAUUCUUUAUGCUGGAGUUGUUACAACCAGAUUUGAGGGAAAUUAGUCUACGACCAAAAUAUGAGUGUUUGAUUCCCCCUGAAGUCAUCUUUGACUUUCAGGAAAAAGGGUAAUGUGGAAAUGAGAACUGGUUGUGUUUAAGCAAAGUAAGCAUUUACAUGAAUGUUUUCUCACUAAUCUGUUCCUCAGAGGCACAAAACGAUGAUGUAAAGCACUAACUUGUUAUUCCGAGGUGAAAUAUGCACAGCUAGUGUUGUGGCCUCAUAGCUAAGAAUUCCUGGUUCAAAUCUUUCUUGAGGCCUUUCUAUGGGGAGUUUUCAGCAUGUUUGCUACAGAUUUCUAACUUGGGCUCUAGUUUAUCAGCAAGAGGUCAUGCCUAUAUAGGCCGUAAGGUGAACCCUGUUAUCGUUUCAUCCCGCUCCCACCUUUGGGGACUACACAAUCUUUACAUCAUAAGGUCCCCCUUGUUGUCUAAUCAUUUCUCAAUUAUUAUUUAAAUAAAUUACAUAUACCUCAGUUCCAUAUAAAUAAAAUUGAUGACGAUAUCAGAUGAAUCUGGAAUAGCAAGUUAUCAAUAACCAUCUUAUUAUUAAAAACAAACAAAAGUAUAUCUUAUCUAUAGAAACAUACAUACCGUAGGCUACAUGUCCUGGUAUCGAAUCAAGAGUUUGGAGAUACUUUAGAUAAGGUCUGCCUUGUUGUCUAAUAAUCUCAAAGUUCUUUGUUGACGUGGUAGUGUAUUUAGCACGGUUUCAGAUCAUUUCUGAUCAUUUUUGAUGGUUUUUGGGGUUUGUUUUCAUCAUCAUGCUAUUAGGCGGAAGACACCAUGGUCGCCGCCAUUUUGCCGUUGUGUUUACUAGUAACGCGCAUCCUAUUAGUGCAGCGGGAUCACGUGACGACCGUGCCUCUACCCACGGACAAAAAUCUAACUACGCUCAGAAAAAACUAGUAGCCUACCGUUUUGUGGUCCCCGAUCACGGGACUCUUGCGGGGUUUUGAGCUCCGAACUUUUACUCAUAAGGUGAGCAUGAAUCAAUCUUUUUUAUAAUGUAAAGAUUGUGUAGUCCCCAAAGGUGGGAGCAGGAAUCACUUUCUGAAAUACUUUUUGCAGUUCACCUUACGGCCUAAUAUAGUUUAAAACAGAGACUGAUCACUAAAGCUCAUUCUGACUCGGGCUUCCUCCUAUAUCCCAAAAAUAUGCUAAUAAUCCUUGGCUAAUUGAUCCUAAAAGUGAGAAUUGUUGUUUGGUCUUGGUGAUGGACUGGUGGCCUCUACUAAAACGUUUUUAUGUUGCUUCAGUCAUUAACGCCUAUAUAAAUAAAUUUAAGGCCAUAAUUUUUAAUCUGAGAAUGUAUUUCAUUUGUGUUGCUUUUUUCAUUUUUUCUUUUAAAAUGUUUUAAAUGAUC